rnacentral:rRNA from 1 species
UACAGAGGGGGCAAGCGUUGUUCGGAAUUACUGGGCGUAAAGGGCGCGUAGGCGGCCUGCUAAGUCGAACGUGAAAUCCCCGGGCUCAACCCGGGAACUGCGUCCGGUACUGGUUGGCUUGAAUCCGGGAGAGGGAUGCGGAAUUCCAGGUGUAGCGGUGAAAUGCGUAGAUAUCUGGAGGAACACCGGUGGCGAAGGCGGCAUCCUGGACCGGCAUUGACGCUGAGGCGCGAAAGCCAGGGGAGCAAACGGG